rnacentral:rRNA from 1 species
GAUGAACGCUAGCGAUAGGCCUAACACAUGCAAGUCGAGGGGCAUCACAUGAAGUAGCAAUACGGAUGGUGGCGACCGGCGCACGGGUGAGUAACACGUAUGCAACCUGCCUUCAACAAGGGGAUAACCCGUUGAAAGACGGACUAAUACCCUAUAACACAGGGGUCCCGCAUGGGGAUAUUUGUUAAAGAUUGAUCGGUUGAAGAUGGGCAUGCGUUCCAUUAGCUGGUUGGUGAGGUAACGGCUCACCAAGGCAACGAUGGAUAGGGGAACUGAGAGGUUUAUCCCCCACACUGGUACUGAGACACGGACCAGACUCCUACGGGAGGCAGCAGUGAGGAAUAUUGGUCAAUGGACGCAAGUCUGAACCAGCCACGUCGCGUGAAGG